rnacentral:rRNA from 1 species
UGGGGAAUAUUGCACAAUGGGCGCAAGCCUGAUGCAGCCAUGCCGCGUGUGUGAAGAAGUCCUUCGGGUUGUAAAGCACUUUCAGCGGGGAGGAAGGCGAUAAGGUUAAUAACCUCAUCGAUUGACGUUACCCGCAGAAGAAGCACCGGCUAACUCCGUGCCAGCAGCCGCGGUAAUACGGAGGGUGCAAGCGUUAAUCGGAAUUACUGGGCGUAAAGCGCACGCAGGCGGUCUGUCAAGUCGGAUGUGAAAUCCCCGGGCUCAACCUGGGAACUGCAUCUGAUACUGGCAAGCUUGAGUCUCGUAGAGGGGGGUAGAAUUCCAGGUGUAGCGGUGAAAUGCGUAGAGAUCUGGAGGAAUACCGGUGACGAAGGCGGCCCCCUGGACGAAGACUGACGCUCAGGUGCGAAAGCGUGGGGAGCAAACAGG